AUGUGAUUGAUAACCCGCAUGCACAAGAUUUUACCACUGUACACUGUUUUACCUAGUAGGACACUAUAAUGGUUUUCAAUUGUUUCAAAACUUUUACUCAUACUGUUUUAUCUAAAUUCAUUCCAACUGAUUUAUGAAAGAUUUUCCAAGGUUUUCAAACAUAUUUUGCAAAAGAAUACAAAUUGUGAUUUUCUCCGGAUAUAAAGGGUUUUCAUCAAAUGUCACAUCUUAUAGACGCUUGUAGGGCGUCUGGUACUCUAGUUAGUAUGGUUACGAGUAUCCCGGGUUACCUUAUAAUUCACUGGCUUUAAAGUAACGGUAUUUCGCCAGCUAUUUACACUGUAUGCUGGUAACUCAUUUUCAGAUUCACACUGUUUUGACCUUACAAGACGUAUCUUUCAUUUGAUGCUGUCUGGGGUCUGUCUCCACUGUAUUCACAGAAUCCACUGUAUUCACAAAAUCCACUGUAUUCACUGUGUUCACUGUNUGUGUUCACUAUGUUCAGACCUCGCUAGACGUAUCUUUCAUUUGAUAUUGUCUGCGGUCUGUAUUCACUGUUUUAGACCUUACUAGUUGUACCUUUCAUUUGGUACCUUCUGGGGCCUGUGUCUCCACUUGUUAGAUUGAACCAGGCGUGUCGUUCGUUUGAUACUUUCCUGGAGUCUAUGGUUCCUUGCCUUAGUCAGCAAUCCACACUGCUGAGGCAUAUGGUAUUCCCUGAUGUCAUUUGCUUUCCUCAAUAAUCAAAUUCAGUAUUUUGAUAAUGAUAGCAACUUAGGGAAAACUACUUUUACCACACAUCACUGACCAGUCUUGGUAGAAGGCUGCUUUUAUUAAAGAAAAUAUAGGAUUUUCUGGAAAGGACUCUAAUACACUGAAAUCUCUUAAACUAUUACUUUAUUAAGUUAUUUGAAUGAAAUGUCACUAAAUGCUUAUGAACUCACCAGCAUUUGUAAAAAUGCUGAUACUCGCUUUUCAAAUAACUUGUAUUCUCAGGUUAGCAUUAGACAGGUACAUCCCGGAGCUGUUGAUGAAGAUAGCUUAGUGCCACGCUGUAUUUAUUCUAUUACUUGUAUUACUUUGAUGUAUUAAUGUAACCAUGUAAAACUAUUACUAUUAAUGCAAUGUUUUGUUGUACUUUGAUUACUAUAAUGCAUGUGUUGUGAUACUUGACAUGACGUCAUCCACCCCAGAACGUUUCCGCCGUUCCGGUUUUGGGGUGUGACAGAUUGGUAUCAGAGCAUUGUUUAUAGUGAGCUAAGUAUAUCAAUUCAUAAAAGAUAUACAACCUAUAAACACAAAGGGAUAAAACACUCUGACCAAGAAUUAUACUUUAAAAUAUAACCAUAUUUUACCAAAGUAUAAUAACAUCCAGAAUCUAAACACUCGAACAAAAGUAUCACAAGAAGAACAAUAAUAAAAGUCUUCGGAUGUUGAGCACUACAGUCAAACCUGGGCAGUUAUGUAAUCGUAAGCUGGGAUAAAUGUAACCUGAUCAACUACAUUUAUCCGAGAUGCGAUGAACGUGUGCUUGGGAGUGAUAGUGGUGUACAACAGGUCUGAAACUUACCAACUAGGAAUGCUAGAGCCAAACAUAAAGUUAAAAUACUAUAGGAGUAUUUUAGAACACUAAAAGAUCCACACUAAUCCCAGAAUGAAACUCAGAAGAUAAGAAUCAAACAAGAAUUAAAAUACCAUAGGGGUAUUUUAGAAUCCAUAAACAACCUUGCGUGAAUAACUAAAAAGAUCCUUAUUGAUAUACCUACAACUACAGAGGGUAUACUCCCAAGGUUAUAUAUAAUAAGGAUCCCAUAGGCUAAGAAUGUGUGGUUUCGCUCUAUUUCCUUUUCCUCGUUGGGAUGUGGUUCUAGAGUAGUAUCACAUAUUCGAAGGCCUAUCGGAUCUAAGCUAUAUAUGAUUUGUAUACCCUGUGUAAUCGUAGCAGGACUCGAUAUGGAUCAUACAGUGAAAUGUUAAUAAUCUCUUAGGAUUCUUUAGACAUUUCCAUUCUCGCACGAACCCUGUAGAAAACCCUACCCACUUCAGUGCAUAACAGAAGAGUUGAAUUCGACCCCGAAGAGGUUCAUUGAGAAGAUUUCCUGUUCGGAAAUAAAUGAACUGGGUCGAGACUAUUGAAUGCACCAAGUGCCCAUAUUCUUUUAGGGACAGUGGUGAGAGAUUCGCCUAAACUUCGGAGAUUCCCAGUCAUCCAUCAUGAAGUGAUGACACCCAGAGUUGGAAUCAGAAGGAAGGCGGAGUAGAAAUUCAAUAUGUCCAUACGAGAAGAGAACCCUAGGAAACUACCCGAAGGAAACCAACGCCGAUUCCAGUCAAAGAUACGAGGCAGACCGAGGGAGCCAGUACAUGGAACCCGGGAAUUGUCUUUUCCUCGUGUUCGUCACGCUAAUACACCCUUAAAAUAAUACAAUUUAGUGAGUUAGUGGUUACACUACUCACGCUAUGUGUUAGGUAAAUCGUCGUUUCCCGUUGCCAGAUACACGAUUAGGGCGGAUCCCCGCAUCUCUAUUGAGAGAAUUUUAGCUAUCUGCCCUUGUGAGCCUCUCUUUCCACGAUUUCGUUCCGAACCGUUCUCAAUUCUCUCCAGGCCGGAGAGUGAAACCUUUCCCAGUAUAAAGGUAACUUAGUAGGAACGACUCGCAUCUUAUGGCCUUUUUCCGAUACUCAUACUCUUACCUUGAUUACCAGGACUACAUCAUAGGGAUGUAGGUCGACACUCAGACAACCAGUACCCGAGGCACGGGAAAAAUUUAUGCCUAAUACGUUCAGGACAGAAAUGUCCAGGGUUAACCAUCGUCUCUCAUUACCUUGUAUUCCUUUCCGUGUAGGAAAACCAUGCCACCGAAGAAGCGUAACCAAUCCACAAGCAAGAAACCUACUCUCUUAUUCGAUGAAGCUACGUUCCAAGCUGCAGUCUCAGCAGCCGUAGCAGCUGUCAUGGCUCACCUGAAUGCUAACACCGCCAAUGUUAGCAAGGGCCCUGUCGGGAUUUCCAAUCCUGGCGAUGGACAGCAGCAACCAACACUUUCAUACCCAGUCACCCAAGAACCUUCACCGAACCCACUAAAGAGAAAACUCAAGAUUGAGGAGGGAAGUACCUCGGCUCAAGGACCUUCUGAAAGGCGACGAGCUGAGGCAGUCUAUACCCCUGUCAAUCCUUCCCUCCCGACCUCAAGAAGACCAUACCUAGGAGACCUUCCCCACUGCAGCAAGUGCAGCUACCAUCAUCAUGGUGCCUGCCGGGAACUCUUAUGUGCUAGGUGCAACAUGAAGGGGCAUACUGCUCGUGUAUGCAGAACUCCGGUGGAGCGUAUUGCAUCAAUCACCAAUGUGACGACAAAUCCAGUUUGCCGUCUAUGUGGUGCGAUUGGACACUUCAAAAGAGAUUGCCCAACUGAAGGAAACAACAAAGACACAGAAGGAGCCUAACUCUACUGCUUAGGAAGAAGCACCAAGACACUAGGUAGAUUUUUGGUACGUUUCCAGAUCUCGGAUAACUAAACUGAAAACAAUAAAAGACUAAUUCAAAUGUAAAUUCUUCCCAGUAAGGCGAAAGUCGCAGCACUGUUAUAAAAUUUAAAAAUUCAUUAGGUAAAACUAUAAUGGCUAAACAUAUACGUUACGACCAUGUAUAUUUAAGAUGGACAGACCUAGAGUGAGCGAAUGCCGCCUCAUUUCCUGUUCCUCGUUUGGUUGUGGAUUUAGGGCGGGGUCGCUCAGUCAACAGUCCUCCCCACCUUAAAUAUACAUGACUAGUAUAUGUGAGGCGAUUAUAGAAAUGCCUCGUGAGAAUCCGUUCAUGAAAAGGUACUCCACUCAGAAACACCUAGAACUCUCUAUAGUUCCACGUCGACUCUAUCGGUCCAAGUAUCCGCGGUAGUGAUAUAUAGGACGAAACCUGAGAUGCCUAGAACUUGUGUGCCCGUUCGGCACAUGACCCUAUCGAUCCUCACUUUAUAUCAUGUCGGAGUGUGCCAACUUCGACGACUCUAUUGAUCAUGGUUUGAUUUCGUGCAAUCAUGUGUACACUCUUAGUGCUGUGUAAAAAGAACUUUCUCUGUAGCCAUGUUGGCAAAUAAAGGUUCUUCCGAACCUAAACCUAACACAAAUAAUCAAACCUAAUGUGAUCCGUCAAUCGUCCCUCUUAUCUCAAACCUUGCAAAGUACCCAAGGGAAGGUACCGCACACUGUUGACCGACCCCUCGUAGUCAGAUAAACACCGAAGCGAAAGGCACCGCAGAUACUCUAAGAAGACGACCACCAUCCGAAGCAUACUCCGUAGAAUCCCCUGGGAGACCCUUCGCACCUCGCACACCAGGUUUGUGAACCCAGAGAAUAGAACUCAUGAGGCUGACCACUAUAACCAGGUAUACUGCUGGCAUCCAUCAAGUAUUGGCGGUUAAGCCAAGCAUGAGCUCUACCACAGACCUCUUCGCAAAACACUUUCACCCUAUUCCAUAACAUAGGAGCCGGAGUCAAGAGAAUCUCUGCGGGUUGAGCGAGUAAAGUUCCGAGUGAUGAGACCCUAUACCCACUAGAUUUGACCUAGACCGAGAAAACUCAGAAACUUCGGAAGAGUAGCUGCAGUAGAUACUCGCAUUACUCAGGCACCCCGUCCACCCAGUUAUAGACGAGCAGUGCCUAUCAUCCUCCACCCUCUUGCAUGGAGGAAAUUGUCGUCGCCCUGUAGACAAUAAAAGACAUUCUCUGAAGUGAACACUAGGAUACCGAGAACCACAGGGUAACCUUCGUAGCCAAGAAUACUUGGUCAAGUGCGAAAGUAUUUGCGUUAAGUCUCAUGACCCGGAUCCCGAGGAGAUUAUAGACUUGAAACCAGCCCUGGUGUUAGUCGAAGGGUUAUGCAGGAACAUACACUUUCCACGCAAGAAUAAACCACGGUCUUAGAGAUUCCUUGGACUAUUAGGUGUUCCACGAAUACUAUCUCACGCAGAGAUAGUAGAACCACCUCCCAAGAUAGUCCAACACUCACCCAGUGAAACCCUAUCUCCCCGACCCUCAGGGUUUCCGUAUCUCAAGCAUCGUUAGUGCAGGUCCAUUUUGCACGAGUUUGGGAUAGACACUCUACAGCAAACCGAUAACCAUAGUCACGCAACCCACUCGACAAUCCAGAAAGUAUCUAUCAGCCAGGUGACAAAAAACACGAAACCAAAGACCGCUCGAGAUUUCUAAGAACCAACCUGAAGGACUACACUACCAGUACGAGAGAGAACGUUAGGAACUUCGGAAUGGUGAUCACGCCAGUGAUGAUCUUGCCAUAGAAGUACACUAUGUUCUAAGUACUGAAAAGCUAUACCCUUCCGAGAGCGUAGGACCAUCCAAGAAUCCUCACNCCCACCCCUUUCCAGGCCGCUACUACCCUCGGAUAUACCACAAGAUUCACACCCGAUCGAUCCGCUUCUUAGACUUGAUAUGUGAUCUCCCGACAACACUCUUCGUGCCUCACUCAUCUUGAUAGAAUCCAUUGGGAACCCUAACCAUGAGAAUACACCUGUUGGAAACCCACUAGCUACACUAGACGGAAUCCGCAUCCCGUACGUGAGGGUCUGUUGGAAUGACAAACACAGACCAGAGAUCACAUGGGAAUGUGAGGGCGACCGUAUAGGAAGUACUCCCUUACCCCUACUUGGCCAUACAUACCAACUUCCUUGCCUAGACCUGAAUUUCGGGACGAAAUUCCCUCUAACGGGGGGAUGAUGUGACAACCCAAGUUGUUCCGUUACAUUUUCCCCGUUACCGUUAACGGAAUAUUCCAGUUUAUAAAAGUUCCGUUAAUUAGAGGUCGUCAAUUCAAUAGAAAUUCCAUUUGUUUUCACCUUUUAUGCCGUUAAGUCGUGGUAAAAGAAAAUAAAAGCACUUAACACACAUAUCCAUUUAUUUGGAAAAUGUUGAGUUUUAUUAUUACGACCACUAAAUCGGGUGCGACCAAAAGCCCCGUUUAACGGCAGUAUCGGGUAGAAUUCCACUGAGCCCCGACUCGAAAACCUAUAUAAAGGUGAGUGGAGUCCAUUGGAGACUUUUUACACACUCUCUCUCUCUCUCUCUAUACUCUCUCUCUAGACUCGUUUUCGCCCCGAAUCCGCAACCAAACGCUUCCAAAUUGUAAGUCCGUUUACCCUAGCUUAUUCUAAACAUAUUGAUUCAUGUUUAUAGCCCAAAAUUCGGACUUAGAAGCUUUUAGAAUGGAGUUUACGGCCUAAGCUCCUUCUUAGGCCGUAAACCCCUUAAACAAGGCCAAAAGACCCCAAACUUGUCCCUAUAGGCUUGGAAAUAAAUUAAGGGAAUUGCCUAGGAGUGUUUAAACAUCAAAACACAAUGAUUUAGGGCAAAAAUGAGAGUUUACGGCCCAAGCACAUGCUUAGGCCGUAAACCCCUCAAAACCUUGUCAAAAUGCCCCAAAAACACUCCCAAAUCACCCUUAGGCUUCAUACAUAAUUUAGGGACUUAGUAUUUUGGGUUUAGCACAAUUAAACACAAUGAAAUGAAAGGGAAAAAGGAGUUUACGGCCCAGGUGUAUACCAAGUCCGUAAACACCCCUAAAUGUGCCAAAAGUGUGGUUUUUGCCCCCCAAAUGGCCUUAGACAUUUACCAUAAAUACUAGGAUUGAAACAAGGGCUUAAACACAAGAAAUGGAGGGAUAAAAAGGAGUUUACGGCCCAAGCUAGUGUCUAGGCCGUAAACUCCCCAAAACACAUCCAAAUGAUGGUUUUAAUCCCCCAAAAUGGCAUCACACUCCAUUAGAAAUUGCUAGAAAGGUAAUAGGGGCUUAAAACUUCACUUAACUCAAAGAAUGAGAGUUUACGGCCGUAAACUCCCAUAGGAGUGUCCCUAGGCCGUAAACUCCUAUAAGGUGCCCUUAGAAGCCUUAAACCCACUCAUGCCUUUUUAGAAAAGUACUUAGAAUAAUCCCAUGAACAAGCUAGAAGCCUUAAAACACCAUAGAACCCAUCACCAUGAGUUUACGGCCGUAAACUCAUGGUGAGUANNNNNNNNNNNNNNNNNNNNNNNNNNNNNNNNNNNNNNNNNNNNNNNNNNNNNNNNNNNUCACCAUGAGUUUACGGCCGUAAACUCAUGGUGAGUAGUCCCUGGGCCGUAAACAUCAUAUUAAGGGUUUAAUCUUGGAGAGUAAACUCCAUUCCUAAGCCAUACACACCCUUAAACGCUACCCGGGACACCCAAACACUUAACCAAAGUGUUUUCCGCUCCUGUGAGCGCGUAUAUUUGUUUAAUUAGUAUUAAAUAUACUAAUUGUAUGUAAACAUAUGUUACCAUAUGUUAAAUAGGUCAUUGUGUGUGUUCGAGUCCUUGCGUGACACCGAACGCCCAAACGGCACCUUCGUCGGACCUACUUACACCAGGUGAGUUCAUACCCCUGAAUGAACCUUUUAAAUGUUUUUACAUGUUUUAUAGGGGGGAAUACAAGUUAAACAUGCCAGUUAUCAUAUCAAUCACAUGUGAUUGAUAACCCGCAUGCACAAGAUUUUACCACUGUACACUGUUUUACCGAGUAGGACACUAUAAUGGUUUUCAAUUGUUUCAAAACUCUUACUUAUACUGUUUUAUCUAAAUUCAUUCUAAACUGGUUUAUGAAAGAUUUUCUAAGGUUUUCAAACAUAUUUUACAAAAGAAUACAAAUUGUGAUUUUCUCCGGAUAUAAAGGUUUUUCAUCAAAGUUUCCCUUUUUCGACGUAUACUUUUACUUGUUAAAUACUACUGCUUCGCUUAUACUUAUCUU
rnacentral:lncRNA from 1 species